GGGAAUGGGUCUCGGCUUUGGAUAAGGAUGAUAGGAAAUCUGGAAGGCUUAUUUUGACUGGGAUCUAGCGGAAGACGUUGAGGGUGUGGCCGAGUCGGGAUGCAAGGGGAGAUGCGAAAUGCUGGUCCGUGGGUCUCGGCUCUGUUCCGGCUGUGGACUUUGGAACACGGGAGUUGGGAAGGACGUAGAGGAAAAGAAACGCGUGAGCUGGGAGAUGAUAGCGGAUGGGAUGAAGCUGGGACGU
rnacentral:lncRNA from 1 species